rnacentral:tRNA from 1 species
GCAUUGGUGGCUCAGUGGUAGAAGUCUCACCUUCCACAUGGGAGACUUGGGUUUGAUUCCCAGCCAAUGUA